AGCGAACGCUGGCGGCAGGCCUAACACAUGCAAGUCGAACGCCCUAGCAAUAGGGAGUGGCGCACGGGUGCGUAACGCGUGGGAAUAUGCCCUUCACUGCGGAAUAACGUUUGGAAACGAAUGCUAAUACCGCAUAAUGACUCCGGUCCGAAGAUUUAUCGGUGAAGGAUUAGCCCGCGUUAGAUUAGCUAGUUGGUGAGGUAAGAGCUCACCAAGGCAACGAUCUAUAGCUGGUCUGAGAGGAUGAUCAGCCACACUGGGACUGAGACACGGCCCAGACUCCAACGGGAGGCAGCAGUGAGGAAUAUUGGACAAUGGGCGCAAGCCUGAUCCAGCCAUGCCGCGUGAGUGAAGAAGGCCUUCGGGUUGUAAAGCUCUUUCAGUUGUAAAGAUAAUGACGGUAACAACAGAAGAAGCCCCGGCUAAAUUCGUGCCAGCAGCCGCCGUAA
rnacentral:rRNA from 1 species